rnacentral:tRNA from 1 species
GCCGAAGUGGUGGAACUGGUAGACACGCUGUCUUGAGGGGGCAGUGGAUUAAACUCCGUGCCGGUUCGAGUCCGGCCUUCGGCACAA